rnacentral:snRNA from 1 species
CUCAGUUAAUUCACGGGCGA